rnacentral:rRNA from 1 species
CUAACACAUGCAAGUCGAGCGGAUGAAGAGAGCUUGCUCUCUGAUUCAGCGGCGGACGGGUGAGUAAUGCCUAGGAAUCUGCCUGGUAGUGGGGGACAACGUUUCGAAAGGAACGCUAAUACCGCAUACGUCCUACGGGAGAAAGUGGGGGAUCUUCGGACCUCACGCUAUCAGAUGAGCCUAGGUCGGAUUAGCUAGUUGGUGAGGUAACGGCUCACCAAGGCGACGAUCCGUAACUGGUCUGAGAGGAUGAUCAGUCACACUGGAACUGAGACACGGGUCCAGACUCCUACGGGAGGCAGCAGUGGGGAAUAUUGGACAAUGGGCGAAAGCCUGAUCCAGCCAUGCCGCGUGUGUGAAGAAGGCCCUCGGGUCGUAAAGCACUUUAAGCUGGGAGGAAGGGUUGUAACUUAAUACGUUGCAGCUUUGACGUUACCAGCAGAAUAAGCACCGGCUAACUCUGUGCCAGCAGCCGCGGUAAUACAGAGGGUGCAAGCGUUAAUCGGAAUUACUGGGCGUAAAGCGCGCGUAGGUGGCUUGGUAAGUUGAAUGUGAAAUCCCCGGGCUCAACCUGGGAACUGCAUCCAAAACUGCCUGGCUAGAGUACGGUAGAGGGUGGUGGAAUUUCCUGUGUAGCGGUGAAAUGCGUAGAUAUAGGAAGGAACACCAGUGGCGAAGGCGACCACCUGGGCUGAUACUGACACUGAGGUGCGAAA